rnacentral:rRNA from 1 species
CCUGCAGUCGAGGGGUAACAGGGAAAAGCUUGCUUUUCCGCUGACGACCGGCGCACGGGUGCGUAACGCGUAUGCAACCUACCUCUUACUGGGGUAUAGCCCAGAGAAAUUUGGAUUAAUCCCCCAUAGUACCAUUCAAUCGCAUGGUUGAAUGGUUAAAGGUUACGGUAAGAGAUGGGCAUGCGUCCCAUUAGUUAGUUGGUGAGGUAAUGGCUCACCAAGACUCCGAUGGGUAGGGGUUCUGAGAGGAUGAUCCCCCACACUGGUACUGAGACACGGACCAGACUCCUACGGGAGGCAGCAGUGAGGAAUAUUGCGCAAUGGACGAAAGUCUGACGCAGCCAUGCCGCGUGCAGGAUGACGGCGCUACGCGUUGUAAACUGCUUUUAUUUACAAAGAGACCUCGGGACGUGUCCCGAGCUGACGGUAGUAUUUGAAUAAGCACCGGCUAACUCCGUGCCAGCAGCCGCGGUAAU